ACGCUAGCGGCAGGCCUAACACAUGCAAGUCGAGGGGUAACAGGGAGAAGCUUGCUUUUCCGCUGACGACCGGCGCACGGGUGCGUAACGCGUAUACAAUCUGCCUUAUACUGGGGUAUAGCCUUUAGAAAUGAAGAUUAAUCCCCCAUAGUCUCUUAGAGUGGCAUCAUUUUAGGAGUAAAGGUUACGGUAUAAGAUGAGUAUGCGUUCUAUUAGUUUGUUGGUGAGGUAACGGCUCACCAAGGCUACGAUAGAUAGGGGCCCUGAGAGGGGGAUCCCCCACACUGGUACUGAGACACGGACCAGACUCCUACGGGAGGCAGCAGUGAGGAAUAUUGGACAAUGGAGGCAACUCUGAUCCAGCCAUGCCGCGUGCAGGAAGACUGCCCUAUGGGUUGUAAACUGCUUUUAUAUAGGAAGAAACCUACUUACGUGUAAGUAGCUGACGGUACUAUAAGAAUAAGGAUCGGCUAACUCCGUGCCAGCAGCCGCGGUAAUACGGAGGAUCCAAGCGUUAUCCGGAAUCAUUGGGUUUAAAGGGUCCGUAGGUGGAUAAUUAAGUCAGAGGUGAAAUCUUGCAGCUCAACUGUAAAAUUGCCUUUGAUACUGGUUAUCUUGAGUUAUUAUGAAGUAGUUAGAAUAUGUAGUGUAGCGGUGAAAUGCAUAGAUAUUACAUAGAAUACCAAUUGCGAAGGCAGAUUACUAAUAAUCAACUGACACUGAUGGACGAAAGCGUGGGUAGCGAACAGGAUUAGAUACCCUGGUAGUCCACGCCGUAAACGAUGGUUACUAGCUGUUUGGACCUUGUGUCUGAGUGGCUAAGCGAAAGUGAUAAGUAACCCACCUGGGGAGUACGUUCGC
rnacentral:rRNA from 1 species